GGACGGCCCAGGUUCCCGAUUAAACUGUAGCGAGGCGGGAGCGAUGCCUCUCAAGGUGAAAGCCGUCAGCCUUUUAUGACAAGGCAGGCGCUUUCAGCCUUGAUACUUAGGUUGCUUCGGAUGGUGCAAUGUUAAUUGCGCCAUCCGACAAACAUCUUUCUCUUCUUGCACCACCACAUCCUGGUGAUGGUGCAACUGUAUACGUGUCUUUAUCUAU